rnacentral:rRNA from 1 species
GACGAACGCUGGCGGCGUGCCUAAUACAUGCAAGUUGAGCGAUGAAGCUUGGUGCUUGCACCAAUUUGAAGAGCAGCGAACGGGUGAGUAACGCGUGGGGAAUCUGCCUUUGAGCGGGGGACAACAUUUGGAAACGAAUGCUAAUACCGCAUAACAACUUUAAACAUAAGUUUUAAGUUUGAAAGAUGCAAUUGCAUCACUCAAAGAUGAUCCCGCGUUGUAUUAGCUAGUUGGUGAGGUAAAGGCUCACCAAGGCGAUGAUACAUAGCCGACCUGAGAGGGGGAUCGGCCACAUUGGAACUGAGACACGGCCCAAACUCCUACGGGAGGCAGCAGUAGGGAAUCUUCGGCAAUGGACGAAAGUCUGACCGAGCAACGCCGCGUGAGUGAAGAAGGGUUUCGGAUCGUAAAACUCUGUUGGUAGAGAAGAACGUUGGUGAGAGUGGAAAGCUCAUCAAGUGACGGUAACUACCCAGAAAGGGACGGCUAACUACGUG